GACAUUUUUAAUGUGUUAACUGUCACAUUCAGUAUAUUUAAUGUAUCUUUGCUAAAUAAAAGUGUUAAUUACUUUAAAGAAAAAUCUUACUGACCCAAACUUUUGAAUGGUGGCGUACUAGUCAGCAAAUGUUAAAAAAGGCACUAUUGUCUUAAAUGUGAUUUUGUUUGCAUAAUAUCCUCACUUAUAUCCUAAUUCAUAGUUUUGUACCAUAAUUACUAAUAUAGUUAAUUUGUUAGAUGUUAAUUUGUUAUUGCAGUUGGUUAACCUAGUAACAACCAUAAAUUUUGUAAUUUUUGAUCAUUUUCUGCCUUCUAAGUGCAACCCAGCCAUUAUGAUUUCAACUGCAGUCCAGUAAUCUGAAAAGAAGAUUUGAAUCAGACACUCACGGGGAAGUAAAGCAACAGAGAGCCACACAGGAUCAUCUCCAGCAGCAAAAGCCCCGACGAUCGGAUCCGCUGAGAGAUAGAAAGAUGGAGAGAAGAAAAGGGUGAGAAGUGGAGAGGGGAAGCUGAGCAUGCUGACAAGCACAAGGACCAUGAAGAGGCCCUGCACAGCCAGGACACCCGUCCUCAGAAGCCAGUCUUCCUGCACCCAACACGGGGCUCCAUCCUCGCACUCAUCACAGCCGGGCCAACAGGGCAGACACACAGGGACUUCUGGGUAACAAGCUCGGUAGCCCUUUUUACAUCGGCAGCAGUACUGACCCAUCCGGAAGCCCUGUUGUGGGAUGGAUUCACACUGAGGGGAAGAGAAAGAAAGAGACAUGAGGUCUGCUCAUGUCAAAUCAACACUGAUGUUCCUGCCAGCGACUGAGUAUGAUUGUGUUCUCUCUGCUUUCUGCCAUUAAUUGCAUGUGCAGUCAGUCCCUCAUCAGCGGUUUAUCUGUGAGAGUUGGCUGACCCACACAUCAGACUCACUCGGAGUUAAUCUAAGCUAAAUCCUAAAUGGAGGGGUAAUACCUCCAUCGACAGAGCUUUAUCUUUUUAUUCAGGGAAAUCCAGCACUGUUCACAUACAUUUAUGUUAUUUUCUAUUUUACCUUUAUUUAAUCAGGCAACUCACUUAAGAACAUGAUUGUUAUUUAUAAGAGGAUAUUAUCCUUGUGGAGAGGAACAAUUAGGAAUAAAUAAAAAAUAAUUUCUCUGU